AGGUGAAGGGAUCAGAGCCCAGGCUGCAGCAGGCGGCUGCAGAAUUUCCUGCAAGAGCCCAUUGAGAUCUCACACUGAGACACAGCUGGAAAAACACGUUCCCAGCCUGCAGGCAGAAGCAAAGCUCUAAAACAGAGGAGCUUCAAGCUGACAAACAGCCCCGAUUUAAGGAGUUAAGCUGAAGAGCUCUCAUCACUGAAAGCACAUCUGCUGCAUGCCAGCUACUUUCUCUAAGUGGUUAUGGAAAACACAGAAAGUCAGAAACGUUCUCUUGAAGUAGGAACUGUUAGCGGAAAGUAUCCCACGCUCCUGCCUCCAGGCUGCAGCAAACAGAACACCCGAGCAGCACCAGCAGAAGCCGCCUGCUGUGCCCCCUGUGAAGCACUGCCCACCCGGGGAACGUUUCAGGAUCUCCCUGCAUAGAAUCACAGAAUCGCUCAGGUUGGAAAAGACCUGAAAGAUCACUGAGUCCAACCCAGGCUGAGCGCACUGCCGCAGCGCAGCGUCUUUGGCACAGCUGGCGGGAGGAAUCGCCGCUUCCUCUCCUGCAGUUCCCUGUGCUUUCAAACCCUUUCUCUGGAAGCAAAGAAUAGAAAUAAUUCAGGAAUGGAAGCUGCUUACAAAACUGAAGGGAUUUUAAUGACUGAAUGCAAAAGGAACUACUGGGAUUCAGGCAGCAAACAGAGGCAAUUGUGGCCCUGGAUGCCUACCAGUAGUUAUGCUGUAACAGUGUCAAAGGUUAAGGCAGAUUUUCUGCAGAUCACGUAAAGAACUGUAUUACAGUUACUAGAGGGUGACUGUAAGUAAUUCAGUAGGAGAAAAAAAACCACCUGCUCCAUCUGUCAACUGAGGACUGCGUACAAAAGAAGCCUGAGAAAACACACAGCUGAAGAAAACACAGAAUUAAACCAUGGACCAAAAAAGCAGUGUGAAAGACAUCUGUCAUAUCAAGGGACUCUCCUCUUCAGACCCAGAGUCAAAUGGAAUUACGAAGACCAGAUACUUUCUUGCAGCUUCCUGCACAUCUUACUAAAUAACAUGCAAAGAGUUCAACAGCAUUCUUCUUAAAAUGAAAGAAGAAACACGUUUCGGAUAGAAGCACCGUUUAACUGAGGACAGGUGAAAGGACAAAGAGAACAAAUUUUAAAGACGAAAGGAAUCAGUACUGCACCUUUACUGGGAAUUUAAGCUGGUUGUAGACCUCUGACACAAGCAAGUUAUGACUCAGUGUUUUUCGCAUCUUCAUAAUUCGCACGAUGGCCGCAUCGAUCUGGUACUGCCGGUCCUGGAACACCCUCUCUGUAGUGCUUGCCUGCUCCUCUACCUGAUGGAUCCAUUUAGGAAGAGUUUUAAAGAGAACACAACUGUUGAAUACAUUCUUCUUCAUAUCUAAGACGAGUCUUAUUGUGAGACUCUAAGAUGUCUACUGUGAAGUACUGGACAUAAAUCCUACAAAAUAUGCAAGUCCACUGUCGUAAGAACUCGUGCUGGGAGUAAAAUCUUUGCACUGAUUUUACCUUAGCUGGAGAAUUCACAGUGGAUCUGUUCACAAAUCAGGAAAGCUCUAGGGAACGAUUGAGGUGAACAGAGCAUUCACUACUUGGAACCUCUGCUGAUCAACUUUAGAUUGAUCAACUUUAGAUUUCUAAGUUAGCACAGAAGCUCGUGUUUAAACGUCCACUGUUAAGUUUGUGCUAUCAUCCAAAAUAUACGUGCAUCCUUCACACAGAUACCAUUAUGGACAUUACAACUGAGAGGAAUAAAGCUUAUAAAUGGGCAAGCAACAAGACACUUAGCCCAAGAAUGAAAUACCUACAUUAUUAGGAAAAACAACAAGAAAUAUACCGUUUCUUUCAUCUGAA